AUGGAGAAAAAGUUUACAUGCUAAAGUAUUUUUCUUUUCCGUGUCUACAAUGCUCCAAUAUUAAUUGAACGUCUAAAUCAUCUUGGAUAUAAUUAUAUUUCCAUAGAUAAAUACAUUCGUUCACAAUA
ensembl:snoRNA snoRNA:Psi18S-640c snoRNA:Psi18S-640c